CAUACCUAUUCGAAGGGAUAGGGUCGGUUUGGUCGGAUUUCACACGGGUGUUGCAUGGCUGUCGUCAGCUCGUGUCGUGAGAUGUUGGGUUAAGUCCCGCAACGAGCGCAACCCUCAUCCUUAGUUACCAUCAGGUUAUGCUGGGGACUUUAAGGAAACUGCCAGUGAUAAACUGGAGGAAGGUGGGGAUGAUGUCAAGUCAUCAUGGCCCUUAUGGAGUGGGCUACACACGUGCUACAAUGGUGAUUACAAUGGGCUGCAAGGUCGCAAGGCUGAGCUAAUCCUAAAAAAUCAUCUCAGUUCGGAUUGUUCUCUGCAACCCGAGAGCAUGAAGUUGGAAUUGCUAGUAAUCGUGGAUCAGCAUGCCACGGUGAAUACGUUCUCGGGUCUUGUACACACUGCCCGUCACGCCAUGGGAAUUGGUUUCACUCGAAGCU
rnacentral:rRNA from 1 species